rnacentral:rRNA from 1 species
UCAGGAAUAUUGGGCAAUGCCCGCAAGGGUGACCCAGCAACGCCGCGUGGAGGAUGAAUGUCGUAAGAUUGUAAACUCCUGUUGGAGGGGAAGAAUAGUACCGGUUGGACCGGUAUAUGACUGUACCCUCAGAGAAAGCCCCGGCUAACUACGUGCCAGCAGCCGCGGUAAUACGUAGGGGGCAAGCGUUGUCCGGAUUUACUGGGUGUAAAGGGCGCGCAGGCGGGAUAAAAAGUCAGUGGUGAAAUCCUACAGCUUAACUGUAGAACUGCCUUUGAUACUUUUAUUCUUGAGUUCGGGAGAGAGAGACGGAAUUCCAGGUGUAGUGGUGAAAUACGUAGAUAUCUGGAAGAACACCAGUUGCGAAGGCGGUCUCUUGGUCCGACACUGACGCUGAGGCGCGAAAGCGUGGGGAGCAAACA